rnacentral:rRNA from 1 species
UGCAGUCGAACGCAGUAGCAAUACUGAGUGGCGAACGGGUGAGUAUAAUGUGGGUAUCUGCCUUUUGGUUUGGAAUAACAUGAGGAAACUUGUGCUAAUACCGGAUAAGCCCUUACGGGGAAAGUUUUAACGCCGAAAGAUGAGCCCGCACUUGAUUAGCUAGUUGGUAGGGUAAAAGCCUACCAAGGCAACGAUCAAUAGCUGAUCUGAGAGGAUGAUCAGCCACAUUGGGACUGAGACACGGCCCAGACUCCUACGGGAGGCAGCAGUGGGGAAUCUUGCACAAUGGGGGAAACCCUGAUGCAGCGAUGCCGCGUGAGUGAAGAAGGCCCUUGGGUUGUAAAGCUCUUUCGUCGGGGAAGAAAAUGACUGUACCCGAAUAAGAAGGUCCGGCUAACUUCGUGCCAGCAGCCGCGGUAAUACGAAGGGACCUAGCGUAGUUCGGAAUUACUGGGCUUAAAGAGCUCGUAGGUGGUUAAGAAAGUUGGUGGUGAAAUCCCAAGGCUCAACCUUGGAACUGCUAUCAAAACUUUUUGACUAGAGUAUGAUAGAGGUGAGUGGAAUUUCUAGUGUAGAGGUGAAAUUCGUAGAUAUUAGAAAGAACACCAAUUGCGAAGGCAACUUUCUGGAUCAUUACUGACACUGAGGAGCGAAAGCAUGGGUAGCGAAGAGGAUUAGAUACCCUCGUAGUCCAUGCUGUAAACGAUGUGUGCUAGACGUUGGAAAUUUAUUUUUUCAGUGUCGCA